rnacentral:rRNA from 1 species
UACAGAGGUCCCAAGCGUUGUUCGGAAUUACUGGGCGUAAAGGGUUUGUAGGUGGUCUGCUAAGUCAGACGUGAAAUCCCUCAGCUUAACUGGGGAACUGCGUCUGAUACUGGCGGACUUGAGGACAGGAGAGGAACGCGGAAUUCCAGGUGUAGCGGUGAAAUGCGUAGAUAUCUGGAGGAACACCGGUGGCGAAGGCGGCGUUCUGGACUGUUCCUGACACUGAAAAACGAAAGCCAGGGGAGCAGACGGG